rnacentral:rRNA from 1 species
AGUGAACGCUGGCGGUUGGCCUAACACAUGCAAGUCGAACGGCAGCACAGUAAGAGCUUGCUCUUACGGGUGGCGAGUGGCGGACGGGUGAGGAAUACAUCGGAAUCUACUUUUUCGUGGGGGAUAACGUAGGGAAACUUACGCUAAUACCGCAUACGACCUACGGGUGAAAGCAGGGGAUCUUCGGACCUUGCGCGAUUGAAUGAGCCGAUGUCGGAUUAGCUAGUUGGCGGGGUAAAGGCCCACCAAGGCGACGAUCCGUAGCUGGUCUGAGAGGAUGAUCAGCCACACUGGAACUGAGACACAGUCCAGACUCCUACGGGAGGCAGCAGUGGGGAAUAUUGGACAAUGGGCGCAAGCCUGAUCCAGCCAUACCGCGUGGGUGAAGAAGGCCUUCGGGUUGUAAAGCCCUUUUGUUGGGAAAGAAAAGCAGCAGGUUAAUACCCCGCUGUUCUGACGGUACCCAAAGAAUAAGCACCGGCUAACUUCGUG